CGCUAAGAAGCUAAACAGGUUUAAAGCGUUAGCCUUUUAAGCUAAAGAUUGGUGAUUACCAACCACCCUUAGCGAU
rnacentral:tRNA from 1 species